GGCCAGUUAGCUCAGUGGUUUGAGCGUGGUGCUGACAACAAUGACCGACACUGAGGUCGCGGGUUUGAAUCCCGCUCAGUCCC
rnacentral:tRNA from 1 species